ensembl:lncRNA LINC00667 long intergenic non-protein coding RNA 667
GCCGCGGCCGGGAGGGACCGAGCGGGGAGCAAGGCCUGCGGGGAGGCGCAGGAUGGACGCGUUGGCUGUCAUGAUGUAGGACCUCCUGACCUAGAACCAUGCCCGGCGCAGGGAGAACAACGAGCUUACGGACCGGGUGCGGGGGCUGCUGUGCGAGAAAGCCUACCUGCUGGCCCGGGAGCGUUCGCCGGCCCACCUGGUGGCUUUCCCUGGACGUUUAACGGCGACUCCGCCCGGCCUCCCGACUUUUUGAUGCAGGCGUUCUCUUACAUGACUUUCUUCGAGGCUAGAUUCUCGAAAGACAUCCUGAAGGUGGCUUUCUUAAUUAGCUGCCUCACCGGCUGGCGGAGCAGUUCGUAGUCGCCUACAUCGAGAGGGAGAGCCCCGUCCUGGCUCAGUACUGGGGCUUCGUGGACGCGCUGUAGCGGGUCUUCGCCGUCGUGGGUAGGAAACAGUCGGGCCGGAUCCCCGGUGUCUGGGGAGCGGCUGCCGGCCGGGCCCGCGCGAGCCGCUUCACUCCUACAAGCCCGGCUCACUAGUUCCAAGCUGCUGGACUUUGACCCUCGCUGGGAAGCUUGAUCGCCGCCUGUUCUCGCCAAUCUCUAUGCCUUUGCACUGCCCAGCAACCCGGUCACUGCCCAGGACCUGUUAAAAGUUGAAUGGACCUCCCAGAAUCACGCCGCUGCCACCGCCGUUUCUAGAGACGGCUUUUGGCCACCUUUGAGAAUCAGGGUCAAACUUGGAAGGGCCUGCAUUUGUCACACUUCCUCGGACACUAAUUUGGAUAGUUCAGGCCCAGAGACGGCUUCCCGGGUUAGUGUGCCUGACAACACUGAAGAAAAAUUGUGACAUUUUCCUUCCCCAGAAUUACUUCGUUUUAUACAUUUCACUUCUCUUCUGAAAUCACAGCAAUGCCAGUUUGCGCCUUUUGGUCUGAGGAACGCAGGCCCUGGCCACUACCAGGAAAAAGUAUUUACUUUUAAAACUUGAAUGUAUAUCUUUACCGUAUGCCUAGUACAGUAGUGCUUGGAAGAAACAGAUUAGUAAGACAAAAUAUAUGUCUUCAAGAACACUUACGUUCUGAGAAAGAAUUCUGAAUGCAGAUUCUAAUGUCUGGUAAAAUGCUUUACAGUGUAAAGAAUGCAUAUAUGAUUCUUAUUUUAUGGCAUUUUAAACUUUCCACCCCACGGUUUUAAAGUGUUAAUAUAUGUUAAAAAUAUAUGCAAUUUAUAAAGGAGAAGGAAAGCCCAGCUUGAUUUUUGCUGCCAAAGAUGGUAUAUUUAAAAUUAAACGUAACUAAUGGCAAAAAAUAAUGGGAAUGGUGCAGUCUUUGAGCUGUAUCCAGUUGGCAUUAUUCUCUUGGACUAAAAGGAAUAGUAUUAACUUCCUCACUUUGGGUAAGCCACUUUAGAUUUUUGGGCUGCAGUUUUCUCAGGUAAUUAGAGACUUUAUAUUAUGAAAGUUUGGUUCACAAUUCUUUGAGUCUCUUUUGGGAACAAAGAAGGUAAGAGGAGGAUAUGUGCCCUCCUCUCAAUCAAGGGGUUUCUUGAAACCCUCUAAGGAGAAAAAUCUGAAACUGCCUUUCCUAAAACGUUCAUGGGUUUGUCAUUCUGAUGAUCAAUAUCGUCCCACUGAAGUAUCUUUUUGAAUUCCUAGUUAGGAAUCUUUAUGUUAAGAUAAACUGAUCACUCUCUCCUUCGUGGACAGUUUAUCUACCUAAAGAUGAUAGGGGAAAACACUGUUUUUGAAAGACGAAAUAAAGACAUGUUGUAGCAGUUAUUUUAUUGCCAGUUAGUAUUACAAAAGUUCCUAAGGAACUCCCCAUUAACUUGGCCUCAUAUGAACUACGCUUGAGUCCCGUUUUAAAUUGAGUCUUGAUCGUAUUUACUGACAGUUUCAAAGCAGCGUUUUUUUUUUUCCUCCAUAGUAAAAAACCUACAGGAUACCACCACCAAAGGAAAAAACAAGUUUUUUUCAGUAAACCUCACAAGAGCAUACAUUUGAUAGAAUACACGGAUUUUCUAAUGAAAGCUCGCCGUCACCAUUUUAUAAGUCAGAACAUGAAAGUCAAAAUAUCUCAUACAGAUGUCUUUUUUUUUUGAGAAGGUACACAAGGCUUGCUUGUAGAGAUGGAGUUACAUGGAGGGACAGAAGGUCACUGGUCAGUGAUUUUAGGUUUUUAUACUUCUGAAAACAGGUAAUUACAGAUUCUGAUCAGUUUAUCAUUUUCUUUAGUCUUUUAUUUUCUGCUGAAUGCUCUCAAGGGAACGGAUCCAUACCUGUUUAUCAGGCUCACCUGGAAGAGCCAAGUCAUCCACUCAGGUCUUCCUCUGGACCUGCAUAAUUUCCUCAUUUACUAGAUUGGGUUUCUUUUAUGUGUGGGCUUUUAAUGCUUGGUAUCUCUGGUCUUCCUAAUAUGUAAUGCUUAGCAUAAUAAUUUUAGCCAUUAUUCAUUUUUGUAGUAGGCUUCACUAGCUUCCUGCUUCUCAAAUCCCUUGAAAAGAUGAGAUUUUUUUUUCGUGGAGUUCACGUCUAGUAAGUUGGUCUUGAUUUUUUUUUUCUUUCAGAACCUUCUGGAUUUCAGCUUUGGCAAGCUUCCUCUGUUUCUGAGACACCUCCAUCACCUGGGUUACAAUCCCAUCCAUGAUUUUCCCCAUCUCCAGGCAUUUUUCAUGGAAAGCUCCUCAUGCUUUUUAAUUCCAGUUUAUCCAUUUGUGUGGCUUUAACCUCCACAUCCAGGUCUUUCUGGCUAAACUGCAGUAUAUCCACAAUGGGGCCAAUGGACACAUAAGGGAGGCCCUAUCACAGGAACACGAACACCCGGAGUCGCUAGAAAUCAGAUUCCACCGGCUUUGCUUCAGGCCGACUUCCUAAGGAAGGCAUGGUAGCAUCACAGAUGCUGUUUGUCUCAGUUUCCUGAGAAGCCAGUUUCUUAGAGCUGUCAUUCAAGAGUGGGUCAAAUUUGAGAUAUAAAAACCUUUCUCAAGGUAGACUCUUUGGCCCCUAUGCCUAGUAUGUCAGCUGGGCCUCUGAAGCUCUCCUCUUUGAGGUCCUGGCAGGCUCUGGCCCCUGUUGAGAAGGGGAAGCAGUCAUGUGAACUCAUGUGCUGGAAGAAUCCACUCUACCCCUUCCCUGGCUUCUCUGCUGCAAUUUUUGUCUUUAAACGUAUUUUCAGGUGAUUCCAGUUUGCAUACAUAAUUGAGAAAUAUAAGAUUUGGUCCCCAGUAGAGAGCCAGGUGAACUUAAGAAGGAGUCCAUCUAAGAAAAUUGCACAAUUAUCUAGUUUCACUUGGGUUUAGCUUUUAUGGCUUACUUGAUUUAGUAAUCAAAUGAUUUUCAAAUGAUUUUGAUCAGGUGACUCUUCGUAAACUAGAGAAUGAACUUGAGAGCCGAAUUAGCACAGUUUAAAAAUAAUCAUUUAGUUUUUGUUCUCUAUUGUGUAAAUUAUUGAGGUUUGACUGUCUUGGCUAAACUAAGGCUCAUCUAAUAUCUUUAUUUUUGAUAUCCUAAUUUCUUGCCAAUUAAUUGAAGGUAACAUACUAGCAGACCAGAUAACUACUUAUGCAAACCUCAGAUAACCACUAAUUUAAACAAAAUUAAAUCCUUUGCCUUCCCCAGAUCCUUUGCACAUGGCCUGCUAUCAACAAUCCUCUACAAUGAUUCUCAGCAUCACCUAGGGAGCUUAUGUAAAAUCUCAAAUUCCUGGGCCCUAUCCCCAGAGUUUCUUAUCAAUUUCCUUGAUGGAGAACUAUCAAAGCAGUCAAAGCUAUCAAAAUAAAAAAGAAUUCUGAUUGGGUGCAGUGGCUCACACCUGUCAUUCCAGCACUUUGAGAGGCCAAGGUGGGCAGAUCACAUGAGGCCAGGAGUUCAAGACCAGCCUGGCCAACAUGGCAGAAACCCCAUCUCUACUAAAAAUACCAAAAUUAGCCGGGCAUGGUGGAACACACCUGCAAUCCCAGCUACUCGGGAGGCUGAGGCAAGAGAAUCGCUUGAACCUGGGAGGCAGAAGUUGCAGUGAAACAAGUUGGUGCCAAUGCAUUCCAGCCUGGAUGAUGGAGCGAGACUCUGUCUCAAGAAAAAAAAAACAAAAACAAAAACAGAACUCUGCCUCAUAGCGUCUUUUAAGUUAUACACUGGACCUAUCCUUUCCUCACUGACAGACAUUUUAAAAAUUUUUUGGUAAGGCCUAGUUCAUAUAAAAUGUAAUCCAAGCCAAAAGUUAACAAGAAUAAGGGGAGGAAAGGGGACUCCAAUAGCAGAGAAAGGUAUUUACCUGGGAUAUACACUGCAAGAAAAUCAAAGCUAUAAGAAACGUCCAUGAAUAGUAGCCAUAAGGCAUCAGAGUGAUAAAAUUCCUGUCCCUAGGAGGGAAUAUUGGAGUUUGCCAGAGAAACAGAAUGAGAGAGACAGAGAGGUUUAUUGUAGGAAUUGGCUCAUAUGAUUACGGAGGCUGAGAAGACCCACGAUCUGCCAUCUGCAAGCUGGAGAAUCAGGAAAGCUGGAGGUGUAAUUCAGUCAAGUCCAAUGGCCAGAGAAGCAAGUGUACUGAUAUCCAAGAGCAGGAGAAAAUAGAUGUCCCAGAACAAGCAGAGAGGCUGAUUUUGUCCUUCCUCUGCCUUUUUGUUUCAUAUGGGGCACUGAAUGGACUGAUGCCCAUCCACAUUAGUGAGGGUGGAUCUUCUUUACUCAGUCUACCAGUAGAAAUGUCAAUGACUUCCAGAAACACCCUCACCAACACACGUGGAAAUAAUGUUUUACCAGGUAUCUGGGCAUCCCUUGGUUCACUCAAGUUGACACAAAAUUAACCAUCACAGAAGGAGACUGGCCUUACUCUGAAAUUAGGAAACUAAAGAAGUGACCAGAAUGGAGACUAGGUAGAGACAACUAGUUCUCUACCAAACAUGUACAGUUAUUCGUUGGUAUCUGAAGGGGAUUGGUUCCAGGAACUCUCAGGGAUACCAAAAUCU